UACGGAGGGUGCAAACGUUGCUCGGAAUUAUUGGGCGUAAAGCGCACGUAGGCGGCCGAUUAAGUCGGGUGUGAAAGCCCAGGGCUCAACCCUGGAAGUGCACUCGAAACUGGACGGCUUGAAUAGUGGAAGAGGGUUGCGGGAAUUCCCGGUGUAGAGGUGAAAUUCGGUAGAUAUCGGGAGGAACACCGGUGGCGAAGGCGGGUCUCUGGGCCGAUGACUGACGCUGAGGAGCGAAAGCAUGGGAGCGAACAG
rnacentral:rRNA from 1 species